rnacentral:tRNA from 1 species
GGGGGAUUAGCUCAGCUGGAAGAGCAGCGGACUCUUAAUCCGUUUGUCGCGAGUUCGACCCUCGCAUCCCCCACCA